GACGAACGCUGGCGGCGUGCCUAAUACAUGCAAGUCGAACGCAGUGGGGACGGGUGAGUAACACGUGGGUAACCUCCCAUCAGAGGGGAUAACACUUGGAAACAGGUGCUAAACCGAUACUGAUGGAUGGACCCGCGGUGCAUUAGCUAGUUGGUGAGGUAACGGCUCACCAAGGCCACGAUGCAUAGCCGGCCGAUGAGUGUGGUCUGCCACACUUGGACUGAGCCACGGACCAGAGUCCUACGGGAGGCAGCAGUAGGGAAUCUUCGGCAAUGGGCGAAAGUCUGACCGAGCAACGCCGCGUGAGUGAAGAAGGUCUUCGGAUCGUAAAACUCUGUUGUUAGAGAAGCGUUAUCUAACCAGAAAGCCACGGCUAACUACGUGCCAGCAGCCGCGGUAAUAC
rnacentral:rRNA from 1 species